rnacentral:snRNA from 1 species
UGCUCCCUUCGGCAGCACUAUACUAAAAUUGGAAGAUUAGCAUGGCCCCUGUGCAAGGAUGACAUGCAAAUUUGUGAAGUAUUCCAUAUUUUU